GAUGAACGCUGGCGGCAUGCCUUACACAUGCAAGUCGAACGGUAACAGGUCUUCGGAUGCUGACGAGUGGCGAACGGGUGAGUAAUACAUCGGAACGUGCCUAGUAGUGGGGGAUAACUACUCGAAAGAGUGGCUAAUACCGCAUGAGAUCUACGGAUGAAAGCAGGGGAUCGCAAGACCUUGUGCUACUAGAGCGGCCGAUGGCAGAUUAGGUAGUUGGUGGGAUAAAAGCUUACCAAGCCGACGAUCUGUAGCUGGUCUGAGAGGACGAUCAGCCACACUGGGACUGAGACACGGCCCAGACUCCUACGGGAGGCAGCAGUGGGGAAUUUUGGACAAUGGGCGCAAGCCUGAUCCAGCAAUGCCGCGUGCAGGAUGAAGGCCUUCGGGUUGUAAACUGCCUUUGUACGGAACGAAAAGCCCUGGGUUAAUACCCUGGGGUCAUGACGGUACCGUAAGAAUAAGCACCGGCUAACUACGUGCCAGCCGCCGCCGUAA
rnacentral:rRNA from 1 species